rnacentral:rRNA from 1 species
GAUGAACGCUGGCGGCGUGCCUAAUACAUGCAAGUCGAGCGAACGGACGAGAAGCUUGCUUCUCUGAUGUUAGCGGCGGACGGGGGAGUAACACGUGGAUAACCUACCUAUAAGACUGGGAUAACUUCGGGAAACAGUAGCUAAAACCGGAUAAUAUUUUGAACCGCACGGUUCAAAAGUAAAAUACGGUCUUGCUGUCACUUAUAGAUGGAUCCGCGCUGCAUUAGCUAGUUGGUAAGGUAACGGCUUACCAAGGCAACGAUGCAUAGCCGACCUGAGAGCGUGAUCGGCCACACGAGAACUGAGACACGGUCCAGACUCCGACGGGAGGCAGCAGUAGGGAAUCUUCCGCAAUGGGCGAAUGCCUGACGGAGCAACGCCGCGUGAGUGAUGAAGGUCCUCGGAUCGUAAAACUCUGUUAUUAGGGAAGAACAUAUGUGUAAGUAACUGUGCACAUCUUGACGGUACCUAAUCAGAAAGCCACGGCUAACUACGUG